rnacentral:pre_miRNA from 1 species
AGUGGAAUUAUUGGGUCAUAUGAUAACUUUGUAUUUAACCUUAUGAGAAAUGGCAAAAUAUUUUCCAAAGUGACUGCAGCAUGUUGCAUUCUCACUAGCCGU